CUGAUUUAUAAUUAUUUUUUACACAUAUUUUAAAUUAUUAAUUUUGCUAUUUGUAUUAAUUUUAUUGCACAUAUGAUAAUUCAAUAGAAAUUAGCGUGCCGCGGCAUUAGCUAAAAACUUUGUGUUAAUGUCAACUUUCAUUAUAAUUGUUUUAUUAGUAUUUUUUUUUUUUAAUUAAAUCCAGUCUGAUUUAUUAUUAUUUUAUUUACAUUUAUAUAUGUAAUUUUUACCAUUAUAUUAUAUUAUGUACGUCAAGUACCUAUAAAUGGAAAAUAUUAAACUUCUACCUCUAAUUUACUAUUCUAAUACAUAUUAUAUUCAUGAUUUUUUUAUAAAUUCAAAAUAAAUGACUGAACAAUUUUUUAUAUUAUCAUAAUAUAUUUGUUUUCGUGUAUACUAUUAUUACAUUAAUUUACUGUUUAGAUGAG